UACGAAGGGGGCUAGCGUUGUUCGGAAUUACUGGGCGUAAAGCGCGUGUAGGCGGAUCGUUAAGUCGGGGGUGAAAGCCCGGGGCUCAACCUCGGAAUUGCCUUCGAUACUGGCGAUCUGGAGCAGAGGAGAGGCGAGUGGAAUACCGAGUGGAGAGGUGAAAUUCGCAGAUAUUCGGUGGAACACCAGUGGCGAAGGCGACUCGCUGGACUCUUGCUGACGAUGGGACGCGAAAGCGUGGGGAGCAAACAGG
rnacentral:rRNA from 1 species